rnacentral:lncRNA from 1 species
UGAAUAUCUCGCUUUGAAGUCGGAGGUUUCAUAUCGAGAAUCGCUUUGAUUUUUUCGAGAUUAGCUUCUAUGCCUCGUCUUAUUAUCAUGAAUCUGAAGAACUUUUCUGAAGUUACUUUGAAUGCACACUUAGCCGGAUUCAACUUUAUUUAAUGUUUCCUCAAGGCAUUGAAGGCUUAUACUAAGUCGUCGAUAUGGAGGGAGCCU